UAUACCAGGGCAGGAAGGACCACUUGCUCUUCUUAUCAUGGGAUGAACUUUGUGGUGCUCUUUGGGUUUCAGGCUUCCCCUUUGGAUCAGAAAGGUCACCUCACAUCUCAAGUGUAAAUCAUGAUUCAAAACUCCAACUUGGCCACAUUUUGACAAGGAGUCUUGGUAUAAUUUCCUUAUCCUUGGAGCAACUUACCCCUUAGCUUGUAAGAAGUUGUAAAUAUUGAAAAUGUAUAAACAAUACAAGUGCAUCGUGGUCUACAGUUCAGAACAAAAGAGCCCCUCGAAGGAGAAUGUAUCUGACUGAAGGAAUCUGAUUGCUUCUGGGAAGUGAAGUGGAAGUCUGGCUUUGAAUGUAAAGUGCUUCUGGCUACAGCUAUUCAGAGCAGUAUUUCUUGUCCUGUCAGGCACAUGAGAGGUUUAUACUCCCUGUUCUCUUGGAGUCAGUCUUGAUCAACAGAUUUUGUUUAGUC